UACAGAGACUGCAAGCGUUAUUCGGAUUCACUGGGCGUAAAGGGUGCGCAGGUGGCCAAGUGUGUUAGGCGUGAAAGCCCGGGGCUUAACCCCGGAAUUGCACCUAAAACUACAUGGCUAGAGCAUUGGAGAGGGGAGCAGAAUUCACGGUGUAGCAGUGAAAUGCGUAGAUAUCGUGAGGAAUACCAGAGGCGAAGGCGAGUCUCUGGACAUUUCCUGACGCUGAGGCACGAAAGCCAGGGGAGCAAACGGG
rnacentral:rRNA from 1 species